rnacentral:lncRNA from 1 species
AAAGAUUAUGAUGGUGAAUAUAUUGGUGGAAAUAGCAAUUAUUGGUAUAACUAAAUUACUGUAAGGAAGAGACCGAUAAGAUGAAGGAGGAGAUUAUAGUUUUUUUGUGUGUUCAAAUAUUGGAAAUAGAGACAAUACAUUCAGGAGGUAAUUGAUUGUGUGACCCUAAGGUGAACGCUUAAGCAACUAGUCAUUCCCUGUAUUCGA